AGUGAACGCUGGCGGCAGGCCUAACACAUGCAAGUCGAGCGGCAGCGCGGGGGCAACCCUGGCGGCGAGCGGCGGACGGGUGAGGAAUUCGUCGGAAUCUGCCUUUUUGUGGGGGAUAACGUAGGGGAACUUACGCUAAUACCGCAUACGACCUACGGGUGAAGGUGGGGGACCGCAAGGCCUCACGCAGAAAGAUGAGCCGACGACCGAUUAGCUAGUUGGUGGGGUAAAGGCCGACCAAGGCGACGAUCGGUAGCUGGUCUGAGAGGAUGAUCAGCCACACUGGGACUGAGACACGGCCCAGACUCCUACGGGAGGCAGCAGUGGGGAAUAUUGGACAAUGGGCGCAAGCCUGAUCCAGCCAUGCCGCGUGUGCGAAGAAGGCCUUCGGGUUGUAAAGCACUUUUGUCCGGAAAGAAAUCUUCCAACUUAAUACGUUGGGAGGAUGACGGUACCGGAAGAAUAAGCACCGGCUAACUUCGUGCCAGCCGCCGCGGUAA
rnacentral:rRNA from 1 species